ensembl:lncRNA
CUUUUUCUUUUUUCUUUUUUUAAAUUAUUUCCAUAGAUUUUUGGAGAACAGGUGGUAUUUGAUUACAUGAAAGUUCUUUAGUGGUUAUUUCUGAAAUUUUGGUACACCCAUCACCAGAGCAUUAUACAUUGAACCCAGUUUGUAGUCUUUUAUCCCUCACCCCUUCCAACCCUUUCCCCUCAAGACCUCAAAGUUCUUUGUAUCAUUCUUAUGCCUUUGCAUCCUCAUAGCUCAGCUGGCACUUCUGGGUGAGAACAUACGGUCUUUAGUUUUCCAUUCUGGAGUUACUUCUCUUAGAAUAAUGGUCUCCAAUCCCAUCAAGGUUGCUGUGAAUACCAUUAAUUCAUUGCUUUUUAUGGCUGAGUAGUAUUCCAUCAUAAAUAUACUGCAGUUUCUUUAUCCACUUGUUGAUUGAUGGACACAUUUUUGCAAUAGUGAAUUGUGCUGACAUAAACAUUCACGUACAAAUAUCUUUUUCAUAUAAUAACUUCUUUUCCUCUGGGUAGAUACCCCAUAGUGGGAUUACUGAAUCACAAUUAAAAAAUAUUUACUCCAUUUGAAUGCUAAUAAUGGACACUAGUUUAGCUUUGAAAAUAUUUUAGGUUCAAAUUAAACUUACUGUAAAUGCUAUCCCAAUGAGUAAAACAUUUCACUGUUGUGUAUCAAUAAGGAAUUAUGGCCCGGGUGCGAUGGCUCACACCUGUAAUACCAGCACUUUGGGAGGCCGAGGUAGGUGGAUCACCUGAGGUUGGGAGUUCGAGACCAGCCUGACAAAUGUGGGGAAACCCUGUCUCUACUAAAAAUACAAAAAUUAGAUGGGCGUGGAAGUGCAUGCCUGUAAUCCCAGUUACUCGGGAGACUGAGACAGGAGAAUCUUUUGAACCUGAGAGGUGGAGGUUGUGGUGAGCCGAGAUCGUGCCACUGCACUCCAGCCUGGCCAACAAGAGUGAAACUCUGUCUCCAACAAGAAAAAAAAAAAAAAAGAGUUAUAUAAUCUCUCCUUUCAGCUGGAAACAGUAGUGUACUUAGGACUUGAGAUUUCAGAUUCUGAAAACCCACUUCCUAUCCUCGGAUUCUAGAUCACCCCUUAUGAUAAACUUGGGAAAGUUCUAAACUCCCGGCACUUCAGUGUCCCCCCCCAUCAAGUGACAAUGAUGGUAGUUCUCACAGGAUUGUGAUGAGGACUGAAAGGGGUGGUUUAGGAAUAGCUGCUGGCCCAUAAUACUCAUUAUUACUGUAUUGCUCUUCCACUGCCACCAGCAACACCACUAUGAAAAUUACCAUUUCUGGGCCAGAAAAAUAAGGAGAGGAAAGAGGACUCUUGUGUCAUAGUGAACCUAGGACACAACCUAGUGGCUGUAUUAAUAUUACUAUUUCUUUGGGGUUUUUAUCAAUAUCCUUUUACCAUAGUGAUGACUGCACUAGCAACUGCAUUAAUAUUACUAUUUCUUUGGGUUUUUUUCCAAUAUCCUUUUGCCAUAGUGAUGACUGCACUAGCGGCUGUAUUAAUAUUACUAUUUCUUUUUUUUUUUCAAUAUCAUUUUGCAAUAGAGAUGACUGCAUCCUUUCUCUCAGGGCUUGACAUGUGCUUCUGUUGUUUAAUCUUCCCCAUGUCUGCAGAGCUGGCAUGGGGACAUGAUCCUCCCUCCUAGCAUCAAUGGUGCCAAGAGAAAUAUGAAAGGAGAGGCAUCAAUAAAAAUGAUGAAGGCCAUAGGGAGAAUGGUCUGACCUCAGGUGCUACAGGGAUCUCAAGUUCAAA